CUGACUACGUGUCUUCCUGGUACUCGAUGUUAGGAUCUUGGGGCUCAGUCUCAUGAUACAGGAGGCCAAAGGAAACCACCACGUCCUCACACAGCCCAACCAAUGAGAAGUCCCCAUACCAUGAUGAGCUCCUCCCCAGCCAGUGACGAGUCACGUCCUCUCACAGCCCAACCAAUGGGACGUCCCCCCCCAGACAGUGGGAGACAGGACAGGACAACCACUGGUCUCCGACCCUGCAGGCAGAGACCACACAACUUUCAGCCCCACUCUUGGGAUCCCCCAGAGAUACGUCAUGGUCUUCAAAGGCAGUCAAAGCCAGUCCACCAGGCAAUCCCACCUAAAGACACCAGGAAACACCCAGUGGCCACUAAAACCAUGUCUGCCAAAAUCCCUGCCCCUCCCACUACCCCUG
ensembl:lncRNA